UUUAGGAUAGCUAAGUCAGUAGAGCAUGAGACUCUUAAUGUCAUUGCCGUGGGUUCAAGCCCCACAUUGGGCAAAA